GGCAGCUUUUUGGCAGAGUGUUCUUUUUGUUGGGUUAAUUUUUACAGGUGGGAGGGGAAUGACAGACCAGCCAGUGCAAAGUAACCAACUUGUUCCUAGUAGCUAUUUGCACUAGUUCUCCAUGCCUCUGCAACCAACUGGUAAUCUCUGAAAUCCUGGGGCUCCAGCAAUAUUGUGAUCUUCAGCCCUCGUGAUCUUCAGCACAGGAAGAGCAAAGCAGCAGUUUUAGAUUUGAAAGAUGCCAGAAAUUGUUUCUGAAUGAGGAAGUUCAACAGUGGGACAAAAGACUCAUCUACGCUGAAUGGUGAUUCCCCAAGGAUUCAAGUCCACCUCUGCAAUGUCUGGUAAUGUACUGGCAAGGAUUAGAGCAACGGUAAGGAUUAGAGCAAUGGCAAAGUAGGAACACGUCAAUUACCUCACUAAUAGUGUUUUAAAUUCUGCAUUGCUCUUACCUGUGAAUGAGGGAGAAGUGCUGUCUCACAAUUAUUUGUAAGAAAUUGAAAAAGUAUAUUCCAUCUGGCCAGACCUGAGAUGUAUCCCCAUAAUGAGUCUUGACCGGGAGCUGUUUGCUGAUGGAAGCAGCUUUGUAGUUAUGGAGGAGCAGAAAGCUCUGGAUGUGCAAUUGUAAGCCUCGAAGAAGAAAAAGAACUAAGAUCCUUGCCAGCUAAUAGGGAUAGAAGCUCUAGUUGAAGCAGUAAGAAGAUACACUGUGGAAAUUAACACGUUAUUUAUUGCCAAAAGUAUUGCCCAGAGGUGCAGGAUUUGUCUUAUAAAUAAUCCUAAAAUUCAUAGGAGACUAUCUUCCUUCCCCUCCUCCACUCCCCCCCACCUGCCAACCACCAAGGAGAGGUAAAAAGGGGUUCUGUACGUGGGGAAUAUCAGCAAGUUGAUUUUUCUCAAUUACUGACAUGUAAUGGGUACAAAAAUUUAUUGGCUUCGGUUGACACUUUUCCAGGGUGGCCUGAAGCAUUCCAGUGCUGAGCCAACAAAACAAGCAAAGUAAUCAAUUUUUUACUAAAAGAUGUAAUUCCAAGAUUGGGCAUUCCAGAAUGUCUCUCAUCAGACAGAGGACCUCAUUUUGCAGCAGAAAUAACCCAAAGAGUUCCUAGUUUUUUGCAAAUAAAAUGGGAUUUACAUAGCACGUGGAAACCUCAGUCAAGUUAUCAAGUAGAGAGAAUUAAUCAAACGUUAUGAAGACAGAUUGGAAAAUUAUGUCCAGAAAGACAUUUGAAAUAGGUAGAAGUUCUCUCUUUGCCAUUGCUGAAAAUUCAAAUAACCCCUAGACUUAGAGAAGGAAAUAGUCCUUUUGAAACCUUGUAUGGAAAGCCAGUUAUUGGAAAUCUGUCUGGAAAAGGUGUUCAGAUGUAUGUGGCUGGUGAUGAAAUACUUACUGAAUGCCACAUGCCUUUGGCAAGAAUUCUUUCUUCCCUCCAUAGGUAUGUAUAAUUAAGAAUUCCAGCACCCCUGGAUGUGCCUGUACAUUGCUUUAAAUCCAGGGACCAAGUGUAUCUUUGAAUCUGACAGUUCUCAAGCAGCAGCUGCCACCCCAGCCAACACCCCAGCAACUUGUGCCCCCCCAGGCCCGCUGUUGGCAGGACAGUACGAGAAGCUGAAAGCCUGAAAUAUCCUUGGCUCUGUACAGCACUGCGCAGCACCAAGGAAAACACUGGUGUGUUCUCAACAUUGUUGUUCUCCUAAAGCCAAUACAAAGCAUCAUACCAGGCACUAUGAGGAGAAUCAAACCUGUCCCAGCUGAAACCAGGACAGAAGACAACAGUUUUUUUUCAAUAGCUGCCCAAGGGAGAUCAGAAAAUAAAGAA